CAAUCCAUAUUGUUGUUGAUUUUAAUAAUAUUCUUCUUAUUAUUAUUGUCAUAUUGUGGAAAUAUUCCAUUGAAGGAAUUCAUGUUAUUUUAAUGCAAAAAAAAAUCUGUAAUUUGAGUGCUGCAAGCAGAAAGGCUGAGGUCUAUCUUCAUACUCGAUAACUGUAUGCAAUCAUAUUGUAGCUCUUUGACAUCUUAUCCUUUUAUGACCAAAUACACACCGUGUUAAACCCACUAUGCCACCAAGAAUGACCUUCAUGUAUUCAUUGAUUUUUCUUCUGUUUUUUGCUGUUGCUCAAAAUCGUGGAGAAACGUAGCUGACAACAAAAAAAAAAAAACAUACUUGAAUCUAUUCAGUAAAUCAAAUUAAUAAAUACAUUUUACUGUAGUAGUCGGAAAAGCGACACGAUUUUUUUGUUAGAAUUUUAACUUUGUUAUCAGAAUGACUUGUUUCUCCACAGUGGUAAUAGUAAUGACCUGGUGGUAUUACCAUUACAUGUGUGUCUUAAUGAGCAGGUCGGAUUUAUCCUAGCCUAGAGGUCAGACGGCUAAGGAAGUUAUCAUUCUCUGAAUCUCAAACCAACCCCUAGGCCUAGGGGAUAGGGUUAGGGGAUAAGGAUAGGGAAUAAGGAUGGGGGAUAAGGAUAGGGGAUAGGGCUAGGGGAUAAGGAUAGGGAAUAAGGAUAGGGGAUAAGGAUAGGGGAUAGGGCUAGGGGAUAAGGAUAGGGGAUAAGGAUAGGGGAUAAGGAUAGGGGAUAGGGCUAGGGGAUAAGGAUAGGGAAUAAGGAUAGGGGAUAAGGAUAGGGGAUAGGGCUAGGGGAUAAGGAUAGGGAAUAAGGAUAGGGGAUAAGGCUAGGGGAUAAGGAUAGGGGAUAAGGAUAGGGGAUAGGGCUAGGGGAUAAGGAUAGGGGAUAGGGCUAGGGGAUAAGGAUAGGGGAUAAGGAUAGGGCUAGGGGAUAGGACUAGUGGACAUGGGAUAGGGGUUAGGGCAAGAGGAUAGGGCUAGGGAAUAGGACUAGGGGCUAGGGGAUAGGGGAUAGGACUAGGGGAUAGGGGUUAGGGCUAGGGCAUAGGGGUUAGGGCUAGGGGAUAGGACUAGGGGAUGGGGAUAGGGGUUAGGGGAUAUGGUUAGGGGAUAUGGUUAGGGAGUAGGGCUAGGGGUUAGGACUGGGGAUAGGGGUUAGGACUAGGGGAUAGGGGUUAGGACUAGGGGAUAGGGGUUAGGACUAGGGGAUAGGGGUUAGGGCUAGGGCAUAGGGGUUAGGGCUAGGGGAUAGGGGAUAGGGUUAGGGUUAGAGGAUAGGGGUUAGGGCUAGAGGAUAGGACUUGUGGACAGGGCUAGGGAAUAGGGCUUGGGGGUAGGGGUUAGGGCUAGAGGAUAGGGCUGGGGAAUAGGACUAGGGGCUAGGGGAUAGGGGAUAGGACUAGGGGAUAUGGGUUAAGGCUAGAGGAUAUGGGUUAGGGCUAGGGGAUAGGACUAGGGGAUAGGGCUUGGGGAUAGGGGUUAGGGGAUAUGGUUAGGGAGUAGGGCUAGGGGUUAGGACUGGGGAUAGGGGUUAGGACUAGGGGAUAGGGGUUAGGGCUAGGGGAUAGGGGUUAGGGCUAGGGGAUAGGGGUUAGGGCUAGGGGAUAGGGGUUAGGACUAGGGGAUAGGGGUUAGGACUAGGGGAUAGGGGUUAGGGCUAGAGGAUAGGGGUUAGGGCUAGGGGAUAGGGGUUAGGGCUAGAGGAUAGGGGUUAGGGCUAGGGGUUAGGGCUAGGGGAUAGGGGAUAGGGAUAUGGAUAGGGGGUAGGGAUAGGGGAUAGGAAUAGUAGACCUAGGACCCCCUGCCAUGAUCAGAGAUCAGAUACUAUGUCCCCAAUGGCACCUUAUUCCCUAUAUAGUGCACUACUUUUGACCAGUGGUGCACUAUAUAAAGGGAAUAGGGUUCUAUAGGGCCCUGGUCAUAAGUAGUGCACUAUAUAGGGAAUAGGGUUCCAUAGGGCUCUGGUCUAAAGUAGUGCACUAUAUAAAGGGAAUAGGGUUCUAUAGGGCCCUGGUCAUAAGUAGUGCACUAUAUAGGGAAUAGGGUUCCAUAGGGUUUUGGUCUAAAGUAGUGCACUAUAUAGGGAAUAGGGUUCUAUAGGGCCCUGGUCUAAAGUAGUGCACUAUAUAGGGAAUAGGGUUCCAUAGGGUUUUGGUCUAAAGUAGUGCACUAUAUAGGGAAUAGGGUGCCAUUUGGAAGGCAGAGAGACAAAAGGCCUGUUGUAUGUGAUCAUAGCUUUAAGUUAUUUUAUUCAUGUUGUUUAUUCCUCAAACAUUCCAACUGCCAACUCAUCUCGUAUGAUAAUAUCAUUGUUGUUACAAAUGCUUGUUAUUAUUGUGUUUUUGUUAUUGUUGUUUUGUUAUUGUUUACCCUUUUUGUUCUAUGAUUUUCCUUGUCUUUACGGUUUUAAUCUUGAACAUGUUGAACAAUGAAGUAAUUUUCAUUUUAUUUGAUCAGCUGUGAAUUUGUACUGACUGUGUCGAUCUGGUCGAUUUGGUUGUGUGUGUGUGUGUGUGUGUGUGUGUGUGUGUGUGUGUGUGUGUGUGUGUGUGUGUGUGUGUGGUUUGGCUGUGAUGUAAUGCUGUAGUUAGUAAUAACAUAGUCAUAGGUUAGCUAGUUAGUUAGUGUGACACCUUGUCAGUCCCUCUCUCUCUCUCCUUUCUCUUCUUCUAUAAAUCACACGCCUCCAUCACCUGUUCGUCUGCGUCAUGUGUAAUCUCAGGGGGCGGGCGAGGAGGACUGAUCUAUCCUAACACCAAAAAAAAUACAAUUAUAAAAGCACAAAUAAAGAUUAGUCACAAUAUCACAGAAAAAAAACCUUCCUAUGACUGAAGCACUAGACAACACAGUCAAUAGGGGGGGGGUUCCACUGAAAGAACCUCGCUGUUGGAACAGUAGAAUGAGAACACCUUGUUCUAAGAGGAUCACAACGUUCUAUAGCUACCAUGUCCCUGUACUGAAUACCACCUUGCUACAUAGUCUAAAGAACAUGUUGAAUCCGAGAAUGUAACUUAUAUAAAUACUAUGACGUCUGUAAAACGAAGACAACAACAACAGAAUAUAUGAUAACCAGCCAGUCAAAACAUAGGAAACACAAAUACACAGCAGUUAGACACUAGUUAGUCAUCACACCUGUACACCUGCUUCUGAAAUGGCACCCUAUUCCCUAUAAAGUACACUAGCUUUGGCCAGUAUGGCACCCUAUUCCCUAU
rnacentral:lncRNA from 1 species